rnacentral:rRNA from 1 species
AUUGAACGCUGGCGGUAUGCCUUACACAUGCAAGUCGAACGGUAGAGGGGCAACCCUUGAGAGUGGCGAACGGGUGAGUAAUACAUCGGAACGUGCCCAGUCGUGGGGGAUAACGUAGCGAAAGCUACGCUAAUAUCGCAUACGACCCGAGGGUGAAAGCGGGGGACUCGCAAGGGCCUCGCGCGAUUGGAGCGGCCGAUGGCAGAUUAGGUAGUUGGUGGGGUAAAGGCCCACCAAGCCUGCGAUCUGUAGCUGGUCUGAGAGGACGACCAGCCACACUGGGACUGAGACACGGCCCAGACUCCGACGGGAGGCAGCAGUGGGGAAUUUUGGACAAUGGGCGAAAGCCUGAUCCAGCCAUACCGCGUGCGGGAAGAAGGCCUUCGGGUUGUAAACCGCUUUUGUCAGGGAAGAAAUCUUCUGGGUUAAUACCUCGGGAGGAUGACGGUACCUGAAGAAUAAGCACCGGCUAACUACGUGCCAGCAGCCGCGGUAAAAC